UUCACCUUGGAGACCUUAAAGAAAAGAAAAAGAAGGAAAAAAA
rnacentral:sRNA from 1 species